AUACGUAGGGAGCGAGCGUUGUCCGGAAUUACUGGGUGUAAAGGGAGCGUAGGCGGGAGUGCAAGUCAGAUGUGAAAUACAUGGGCUCAACCCAUGGGCUGCAUUUGAAACUGCAUUUCUUGAGUGAAGUAGAGGUAAGCGGAAUUCCUGGUGUAGCGGUGAAAUGCGUAGAUAUCAGGAGGAACACCGGUGGCGAAGGCGGCUUACUGGGCUUUUACUGACGCUGAGGCUCGAAAGCGUGGGGAGCAAACAGGAUUAGAUACCCUGGUAGUCCACGCUGUAAACGAUGAUUACUAGGUGUGGGGGGACUGACCCCUUCCGUGCCGCAGUUAACACAAUAAGUAAUCCACCUGGGGAGUACGACCGCAAGGUUGAAACUCAAAGGAAUUGACGGGG
rnacentral:rRNA from 1 species